GGUGGGGGGGACGGGAACGGGGGAAACUGGGGAAGAUGGGGGUGCUGGAGGAGAGGGGUAGGGACCGAGGAGCACCUCGGCCGUCUGGAGUCUGGCGAGGGUGGUGAAGGUGGAAGAGCUAGCUCGGGCAGGUCGGUCAGGUCUGGGAGCCAGGAGGAGUGUGGAGAAGGCUCCCAGGCAUCGUGGAGGCAGGGUGACAUCGGCGUGGGACUGCCAGCCCGAGUUAGGGUUGGAGAGGAAGAAGGAGCCAGACAUUCAUCCCGGUCAAUUUUGGUUACAGGACGUGGUGGCUGGUCGGACAAGGGGGAGCUGCUGGUCAGGGUUCGACCCCCAGGCCUGGGUGGAGGAGUAGCUGGCAGAAAUGGGCAGGUGAGGGCUGCGUCUGCUGGGCAGGUGAGUUCACUUCACCUCUCUGGACCUCGCUUCACAGGCUUCUAGAAGAAGGAGGUUUAGGGAGCGAGGGCCAGUGAGGAGAAGUGGCAGGCCUCCUGCAAAGCAGCAGGGCGAGGGCAGGACAGUUAGCAAAGGUGACAUCUUCUCGGGGGGAGCCGAGAUGGAGCAAAGCUGGGGGCCAUAGGCCUUUCCGGGGGGAAAGAGCAAAUCUAGAGGGCAGAGUGGAAAGAAUGCAGGGAUGCCAGCAAGGGCCAAGACUGCUGUCUCUAGGGAGGUGACCUUGGAGACAGUGGAGGCCACAGGGAUCCAACACGUGUGGGAGCAUUCUAGGCCCAGGUCAGAUAUCAGAGUGGGGUCACAGAACACAGAGAGGUCCCCAGCCACCACCACAUCCCACCCACCGCAAUUCACUUAGGAGCAGGUAUAGGAGCCGCUCUGGCAGGGCCUUUCAAGACCUGCGCCAGAGCCUCGAGGGCUGGAGAGCGGUAAAGAAGGGCAGUGCAGCAGGAUAUCAUCGGGAGGAACAGUGGCUGCGGGUGGUGGGCUCCAGAGAGAUUUCGCAGCAAGGAGGCUGUGGUGGGCCCGGCCUGUGGAUACAGUUCCUACGCAGCACUGCGGCCCAGGGCCUGGCGCGGAGAGGGCCCACAGUGAUCUUGGUGACGCUGUAUGCCUUAACCGCUCAGCCCCUGGGUCUGGCAUGACAGACAGAACAGCAACAGGGGAGCCAAGGGCACAAGGCAAGGCCAGACUAGGUGAGGAGGGUGGGGCGGAGUGAGUGAGGUGCUCUCAGGAGGGAGGUUGGGUGCUGCAGGCAGGGUUAGGCUCAACAGCCGGAUGGCGAGCCAGCGAGGCACUGGCCUCCAGAGCCUAUGGCCAUGGUGGGCCUUGUGCGUGAUGACGGAGCAGUGAUCGGUGCCUCUGCACUCGGACUGGAGAUGAGGCCAGGUCUCCAGAAGGGCGGAGGUGCCCGCCAGCCGGAAGGCCAGGAUGCAGGUGUGGCAGAUGUGCAGAGAGGGAUAUGGUCCGGUGUGAUGGUGAGGCCAGAGGGACUGCCGUCUGACCUUCCCGAACAUUCUGGGCUGGCAAUGCGGAGACACUUCCACGAGGUCUGUUCCUUUGCUUUUCCAAAAGAGCUGCCACUGCUGCUCUCUGGACCCCCAGAACCCUCAAGAUGAAAGAAAUGGUGCUACCCAGCUCAUGCCUGGGACUUGGAAUCAGGGACUUCUUCAAGUCCAUCUAGCUCUGGAUCAAGAAUAUGCUGCAUCCAGAAACCACUACUCUACAUGACUCAGGAAUUGGCUCUGGAAGGUAGAGCUGAAGGAACAGGCCUCAGGAACACCACGGAAGCGCAGACCCGCGGCACCCCCCACCCCGGCAACUCCCACCUUCAUGGCCAGCCCCUGCCGCAUUCGGGAGACCACCGCCCCACGUGCCAUCCCGGAGCUGAGCCUCCUCCCUGGGAUGGCCCCAUCACCACCACCAUCGCCUCCCUCCUCUCUUCUGUUUCAGCCUUUUCUCUUCUUAUCAUUUCUCAUCUUUCUUCUUUCCAUUUCUUGAGAGAUUCAAAGCAUCCAUGACUCUGUUUCCUUACUUAUCCCCUUUUGAAUUCAAUUUGCACUAAGUCAAUUGCACUGGCUGGAGUUCUGGAGAUAGCCUUGAGUCUCUCCGUGUGUGUGUGUGUGUGUGUGUGUGUGUGUGUGUGUGUGUGCACCUCUUUGGCCACCCCACCUCAGUGCCUGCCUGUCCAUCCACCUCUGGGGGCAACUGGGUGUGGGCUGUGUGCGUGAGGUCUCACCUUCCCCUCACCUAGUCUGGAAGCUCCACACCAGCGGAGCAAUCUCUUAAGCAUUCCGUGACACUCAUCUUGCCUUGUGUCCCUCCCCACCAGGGCCUCACCAGAAGCUCUGGAUCCACAAUAAAUACAGUUACAGUA